GACGAACGCUGGCGGCGUGCCUAAUACAUGCAAGUCGAGCGGACAGAAGGGAGCUUGCUCCCGGAAGUUAGCGGCGGACGGGUGAGUAACACGUGGGCAACCUACCCUGUAGACCGGGAUAACAUCGAGAAAUCGGUGCUAAUACCGGAUAAUCAUUUGAAGUGCAUGCUUCGAAUGUAAAAGAUGGCUCCGGCUAUCACUACGGGAUGGGCCCGCGGCGCAUUAGCUAGUUGGUAAGGUAAUGGCUUACCAAGGCAACGAUGCGUAGCCGACCUGGGAGGGUGAUCGGCCACACUGGGACUGAGACUCGGCCCAGACUCCUACGGGAGGCAGCAGUAGGGAAUCUUCCGCAAUGGACGAAAGUCUGACGGAGCAACGCCGCGUGAGUGAUGAAGGUUUUCGGAUCGUAAAGCUCUGUUGUUAGGGAAGAACAAGUGCCGUUUGAAUAAGGCGGCACCUUGACGGUACCUAACCAGAAAGCCACGGCUAACUACGUGCCAGCCGCCGCCGUAACAC
rnacentral:rRNA from 1 species